UAGGGAAUCUUCCGCAAUGGACGCAAGUCUGACGGAGCAACGCCGCGUGAGUGAAGAAGGAUUUCGGUUCGUAAAACUCUGUUGUUAGAGAAGAACAGCGCAUAGAGUAACUGUUAUGCGUGUGACGGUAUCUAACCAGAAAGCCACGGCUAACUACGUGCCAGCAGCCGCGGUAAUACGUAGGUGGCAAGCGUUGUCCGGAUUUAUUGGGCGUAAAGCGAGCGCAGGCGGUCAAUUAAGUCUGAUGUGAAAGCCCCCGGCUCAACCGGGGAGGGUCAUUGGAAACUGGUUGACUUGAGUGCAGAAGAGGAGAGGGGAAUUCCAUGUGUAGCGGUGAAAUGCGUAGAUAUAUGGAGGAACACCAGUGGCGAAGGCGACUCUCUGGUCUGUAACUGACGCGGAGGCUCGAAAGCGUGGGUAGCAAACAGG
rnacentral:rRNA from 1 species